rnacentral:rRNA from 1 species
GAGGAUGCGAGCGUUAUCCGGAUUUAUUGGGUUUAAAGGGUGCGUAGGCGGGCUGUUAAGUCAGCGGUAAAAUUGCGGGGCUCAACCCCGUCGAGCCGUUGAGACUGGCGGCCUUGAGUAGGCGAGAAGUGUGCGGAAUGCGUGGUGUAGCGGUGAAAUGCAUAGAUAUCACGCAGAACUCCGAUUGCGAAGGCAGCACGCCGGCGCCUUACUGACGCUGAAGCACGAAAGCGUGGGUAGCGAA